rnacentral:lncRNA from 1 species
AUCAGCCACCCCACCCCCAGCUCCCUCUAAGCCAAAAUAUGAUCUCAAGUAUGGCAGCGAGUGCUUGAUCCCUGCAGGAAGAGCGAGUUGGUGAAAAUCCUGCCUGGCUGGAUCAAGGUUAAGAGAAAGAACAAUGCCAUGGCGAGGUACUCAGAGCUGAGGGAGGAAGAUUGCUGCAGCCAGUGAGCUAAGCGGAAAGAAUAUCCUGGGCUUCCUUGGGAUCCGAUGUGGACUUGGUCCAGCUGCAGAUGAGGAAAUCCAAGCUCAGAAUGGAUAAUUCACCUAAGGAAAUACAGAUGGAAAAUGGCAGAGCUGCAAUCUAAACCCAGGUCCAUCUGAUAAUAAAGCCCAGGCUCUCCUCAACCAACUUCAGAUCUAGGAUGCUUCCAGUGAGACUCCGUGCUCCCUCCCUGUGUGGUUCCCAUGGCCUUUCUUUACCUCAAGAAAAUGCAGAGUGAAAAGCAAUGGUAGCAGAAGUUUCUAGAAGUUACUUAUAUGGCAAGUGCAAGUAUUUCAGAACACAUUUGAGAUUCAGGAAGGAGGCAAAAAGGCUUCUGCUGAGCAGUCAAAAUGACGAAGUUUGUAAACUUCACUUUAUUUGGGUCCCUGCUGAAAGUCUACCUACUCUUUAAAAACAAUAACAACAACAAAAAAUGGGAACACACUAUUAACGCUGUUCUGCACAUGUAUUUUUCAAUUAACAAUUGGUGAGUAUUCCCUUUUAGCGCACAUAGAUCUACCUCAUUCAUUUAAGGGCUCUGUAGUGCUGCAUUGUGUGAAUGCACCAAAUGUGUAUUUAUCCUGCAUUCUCUAGGUGGACAUUUUAGACACUUACAAGGGUUGGGGCUCAGAAAGUGAUAUCCCAAAGGCUGAUGUUUUGACAUGCUGAGGGCCCUCAGAAGCCGCCCCCGAACCAAGGUCCCUCUAACUUCUUGUUCCCCAUACCUGCCCCACCACCAAACACAGGGAGGGACUGUCUGUCUUUGGAAAUUUCCUCAUCUGACCAAGAAAGCAUCUUUCCAAAAGAAAUGCAAUUGUCUUAAACACCCUCCCUAGAGGUCUCAUCAAAUAACCAAGAAAGAUAAACCACCAGAAGAGAUGAGACUGGGAAUCAUCACCACACCCAGACAGACUUCAUCUAUUCUUCUGAGAGCAGCUCCAAGAGAUUGCCUGGAGGACUUUAUCUGCUUAAUAAGACAAGCUUUGUUCCUGUACAGCUCCGCCCCUCACCUUCCUGUAAUAUCUGCCUCCCACCUCCCCAGUCCAUACAUCUCCUCCCUCCUGUAUGAAAAAGGGUAUACAAGCUUCUGUGCCCCAUUGGGUUAUUGGGAAAUCAUUCUCCUGUGAUUCCCCUGUGCCAUGCACACUAAAAUAAAAUUUUGUAUGCCUUUUCUCCUAUCGAUCUGCCUUUGG